rnacentral:rRNA from 1 species
CCGGGCGCUCGGAGUCCUCGCAACCACAAUUCCUAUCUCCUUAUCCGCGUCUCCGUCUUCUUUCCAACAGAAUGGGGUUUGGUAACUCAAACUUGUAACUCUCGUCUUCAUUCGGGUUCAACGCCAAAUCAAAGGGGCGGUACUGUGUAUCUCCUUAACUAACCUUCCCCUUCUUAACGGGGAGUGGUCGGGUCGCCUGGCCUGUGGAGAACGCCCAGGCGGAGUUACUUGGUUGCUUGGCUUAGUUCGUCACAACCGGCCUAACCAAGCUCAACUCCUAAGGUGGACCGGCGGCUUAAUGGGCCAAAUGGGGACCGGACACUGCCCCCAACUCGCACGGCAUGGCAGCAGUCGGUAAUCUUCGGCAAUGGACGAAAGUCUGACCGAGCAACGCCGCGUGAGUGAAGAAGGUUUUCGGAUCGUAAAACUUCUUUUUUAGAACAGAACAAGGAUGAGAGUAAUUGUUCAUCCCUUGACUGUAUCUAACCAGAAAGCCACGGCUAACUACGUGCCAGCAGCCGCGGUAAUACGUAGGUGGCAAGCGUUGUCCGGAUUUAUUGGGAGUAAAGCGAGCGCAGGCGGUUUCUUAAGUCUGAUGUGAAAGCCCCCGGCUCAACCGGGGAGGGUCAUUGGAAACUGGGAGACUUGAGUGCAGAAGAGGAGAGUGGAAUUCCAUGUGUAGCGGUGAAAUGCGUAGAUAUAUGGAGGAACACCAGUGGCGAAGGCGGCUCUUUGGUCUGUAACUGACGCUGAGGCUCGAAAGCGUGGGGAGCAAACAGGAUUAGAUACCCUGGUAGUCCACGCCGUAAACGAUGAGUGCUAAGUGUUGGAGGGUUUCCGCCCUUCAGUGCUGCAGCUAACGCAUUAAGCACUCCGCCUGGGGAGUACGACCGCAAGGUUGAAACUCAAAGGAAUUGACGGGGGCCCGCACAAGCGGUGGAGCAUGUGGUUUAAUUCGAAGCAACGCGAAGAACCUUACCAGGUCUUGACAUCCUUUGACCACUCUAGAGAUAGAGCUUCCCCUUCGGGGGCAAAGUGACAGGUGGUGCAUGGUUGUCGUCAGCUCGUGUCGUGAGAUGUUGGGUUAAGUCCCGCAACGAGCGCAACCCUUAUUGUUAGUUGCCAUCAUUCAGUUGGGCACUCUAGCAAGACUGCCGGUGACAAACCGGAGGAAGGUGGGGAUGACGUCAAAUCAUCAUGCCCCUUAUGACCUGGGCUACACACGUGCUACAAUGGGAAGUACAACGAGUUGCGAAGUCGCGAGGCUAAGCUAAUCUCUUAAAGCUUCUCUCAGUUCGGAUUGCAGGCUGCAACUCGCCUGCAUGAAGCCGGAAUCGCUAGUAAUCGCGGAUCAGCACGCCGCGGUGAAUACGUUCCCGGGCCUUGUACACACCGCCCGUCACACCACGAGAGUUUGUAACACCCGAAGUCGGUGAGGUAACCUUUUUGGAGCCAGCCGCCUAAGGUGGGAUAGAUGAUUGGGGUGAAGUCGUAACACUAGCCCG